rnacentral:rRNA from 1 species
CCUACGGGAGGCAGCAGUGGGGAAUAUUGGACAAUGGGGGCAACCCUGAUCCAGCCAUGCCGCGUGUGUGAAGAAGGCCCUCGGGUUGUAAAGCACUUUCAGUGAGGAAGAACGCCUGGUGGUUAAUACCCAUCAGGAAAGACAUCACUCACAGAAGAAGCACCGGCUAACUCCGUGCCAGCAGCCGCGGUAAUACGGAGGGUGCGAGCGUUAAUCGGAAUUACUGGGCGUAAAGCGCGCGUAGGUGGCUUGAUAAGCCGGUUGUGAAAGCCCCGGGCUCAACCUGGGAACGGCAUCCGGAACUGUCAAGCUAGAGUGCAGGAGAGGAAGGUAGAAUUCCCGGUGUAGCGGUGAAAUGCGUAGAGAGCGGGAGGAAUACCAGUGGCGAAGGCGGCCUUCUGGACUGACACUGACACUGAGGUGCGAAAGCGUGGGUAGCAAACAGGAUUAGAUACCCCGGUAGUC